rnacentral:rRNA from 1 species
GUUAGGAAUAUUGGACAAUGGGCGCAAGCCUGAUCCAGCCAUGCCGCGUGAGUGAUGAAGGCCUUCGGGUUGUAAAGCUCUUUAGUCCACGAAUAUAAUGACUGUAGUGGAAGAAUAAGCCCCGGCUAACUUCGUGCCAGCAGCCGCGGUAAUACGAAGGGGGCGAGCGUUAUUCGGAAUCACUGGGCGUAAAGCGUGCGUAGGCUGUUUUGUAAGUCAGAAGUGAAAGCCCAGGGCUUAACCCUGGAAUUGCUUUUGAAACUACAAGACUCGAAUUCGGGAGAGGAUAGCGGAAUUGUCAGUGUAGCAGUGAAAUGCGUAGAUAUUGACAGGAACACCAGUGGCGCAAGCGGCUAUCUGGACCAAUAUUGACGCUGAGGCACGAAAGCGUGGGGAGCAAACAGGAUUAGAUACCCUAGUAGUCC